rnacentral:rRNA from 1 species
CCAUACCUCCCAUACCACCCUGAACAUGCCCGAUCUCUGAAGUUAAGCAGGUUCGGGCCUGGUUAUUACUUGGAUGGGAGACCGCCUGGGAAUAUUGGGUGCUGUAGGAA